rnacentral:rRNA from 1 species
UACAGAGGGGGGCAAGCGUUGUUCGGAAUUACUGGGCGUAAAGGGCGCGUAGGCGGCCCGCUAAGUCGAACGUGAAAUCCCCCGAGCUCAACUCGGGAACUGCAUCCGAUACUGGAUGGCUUGAAUUCGGGAGAGGGAUGCAGAAUUCCAGGUGUAGCGGUGAAAUGCGUAGAUAUCUGGAGGAAUACCGGUGGCGAAGGCGGCAUCCUGGACCGACAUUGACGCUGAUGAGCGAAAGCUAGGGGAGCAAACGGG